CCUACGGGGUGCAGCAGUGGGGAAUAUUGCACAAUGGGGGAAACCCUGAUGCAGCGACGCCGCGUGAGCGAAGAAGUAUUUCGGGAUGUUAAGCUCUAUCAGCAGGGAAGAAAAUUACGGUACCUGAGCAAGAAGCUCCGGCUAAAUACGUGCCAGCAGCCGUGGUAAUACGUAUGGAGCAAGCGUUAUCCGGAUUUACUGGGCGUAAAGGGAGCGUAGGCGGCCUGUCAAGUCUGAUGUGAAAUACUGGGGCUCAACCCCGGGGCUGCAUUGGAAACUGGCAGGCUGGAGUGCCGGGGAGGCAGGCGGAAUUCGUGGUGUAGCGGUGAAAUGCGUAGAUAUUAGGAAGAACUCCGGUGGCGAAGGCAGCCUACUAAACGGUGACUGACACUGAGGCUCGAAAGCGUGGGGAGCAAACAGGAUUAGAUACCCGUGUAGUC
rnacentral:rRNA from 1 species